GGCAGUCGUAACCUAAUGGUUAGAGAGUUGGACUCGUAACCCGAGGGUUGCGGGUUUGAGUCCCAGGUCUGGCA